GACGAACGCUGGCGGCGUGCUUAACACAUGCAAGUCGAACGGAAAGGCCCUGCUUUUGUGGGGUGCUCGAGUGGCGAACGGGUGAGUAACACGUGAGUAACCUGCCCUUGACUUUGGGAUAACUUCAGGAAACUGGGGCUAAUACCGGAUAGGAGCUCCUGCUGCAUGGUGGGGGUUGGAAAGUUUCGGCGGUUGGGGAUGGACUCGCGGCUUAUCAGCUUGUUGGUGGGGUAGUGGCUUACCAAGGCUUUGACGGGUAGCCGGCCUGAGAGGGUGACCGGCCACAUUGGGACUGAGGUACGGCCCAGACUCCUACGGGAGGCAGCAGUGGGGAAUAUUGCACAGUGGGCGGAAGCCUGAUGCAGCAGCGCCGCGUGCGGGAUGACGGCCUUCGGGUUGUAAACCGCUUUCGCCUGUGACGAAGCGUGAGUGACGGUAAUGGGUAAAGAAGCACCGGCUAACUACGUG
rnacentral:rRNA from 1 species